UACGGGGGGAGCAAGCGUUGUUCGGAUUUACUGGGCGUAAAGCGUGCGCAGGCGGUUAUGUAAGACAGAUGUGAAAUGCCCGGGCUUAACCUGGGAACUGCAUUUGUGACUGCACGGCUAGAGUGUGUCAGAGGGGGGUAGAAUUCCACGUGUAGCAGUGAAAUGCGUAGAGAUGUGGAGGAAUACCGAUGGCGAAGGCAGCCCCCUGGGAUAACACUGACGCUCAUGCACGAAAGCGUGGGGAGCAAACAGG
rnacentral:rRNA from 1 species